CCUUCGAUGUCGGCUCUUCCUAUCAUUGCGAAGCAGAAUUCGCAAAGCGUUGGAUUGCUUACCCACUAACGGGGAACGUAAGACGGGUUUAGACCGUCGUGAGAUAGGUU
rnacentral:ncRNA from 1 species